rnacentral:rRNA from 1 species
GGUGGCGGGUCUACGCAUGCAGUCGAACGGGUGCUUGAAGCAAUUCAAGUGCGAGUGGCAAACGGGUGAGUAACACGUAGGUGACCUACCUCAAAGUGGGGAAUAACGAGCCGAAAGGCUGGCUAAUACCGCAUGUGAUCGAAAGAUGAAAGCUUCUCUUCGGGGAGGCGCUUUGAGAGGGGCCUGCGGCCCAUCAGGUCGUUGGUGAGGUAACGGCCCACCAAGCCGAUGACGGGUAGCUGAUCUGAGAGGAUGACCAGCCACACUGGCACUGAGACACGGGCCAGACUCCUACGGGAGGCAGCAGCGAGGAAUAUUGCGCAGUGGGCGACAGCCUGACGCAGUAACGCCGCGUGCGGGACGAAGGCCUUCGGGUCGUAAACCGCUUUUCCGGGGGACGAGGCAGGACGGUACCCCGGGAAUAAGUCUCGGCUAACUACGUGCCAGCAGCCGCGGUAAAACGUAGGAGGCGAGCGUUAUCCGGAUUCACUGGGCGUAAAGCGCGUGUAGGCGGUUCGUCAAGUCGAUGGUGAAAGCCUCCGGCUCAACUGGGGGAGGACUAUCGAAACUGGUGGACUUGAGGCAAGGAGAGGAAGGUGGAAUUCCCGGUGUAGCGGUGGAAUGCGUAGAGAUCGGGAGGAACACCAGUGGCGAAGGCGGCCUUCUGGCCUUGUCCUGACGCUGAGACGCGAAAGCGUGGGGAGCAAACGGGAUUAGAUACCCCGGUAGUCCACGCCCUAAACGAUGAGGGCUAGGUGUUGGUGGGAUUCCCCAUCUG